GUCGAGCGGCGGACGGGUGAGUAAUGCCUAGGAAAUUGCCCUGAUGUGGGGGAUAACCAUUGGAAACGAUGGCUAAUACCGCAUAAUGCCUACGGGCCAAAGAGGGGGACCUUCGGGCCUCUCGCGUCAGGAUAUGCCUAGGUGGGAUUAGCUAGUUGGUGAGGUAAUGGCUCACCAAGGCGACGAUCCCUAGCUGGUCUGAGAGGAUGAUCAGCCACACUGGAACUGAGACACGGUCCAGACUCCUACGGGAGGCAGCAGUGGGGAAUAUUGCACAAUGGGCGCAAGCCUGAUGCAGCCAUGCCGCGUGUGUGAAGAAGGCCUUCGGGUUGUAAAGCACUUUCAGUCGUGAGGAAGGUGGUAUUGUUAAUAGCACUAUCAUUUGACGUUAGCGACAGAAGAAGCACCGGCUAACUCCGUGCCAGCAGCCGCGGUAAUACGGAGGGUGCGAGCGUUAAUCGGAAUUACUGGGCGUAAAGCGCAUGCAGGUGGUUUGUUAAGUCAGAUGUGAAAGCCCGGGGCUCAACCUCGGAAUAGCAUUUGAAACUGGCAGACUAGAGUACUGUAGAGGGGGGGUAGAAUUUCAGGUGUAGCGGUGAAAUGCGUAGAGAUCUGAAGGAAUACCGGUGGCGAAGGCGGCCCCCUGGACAGAUACUGACACUCAGAUGCGAAAGCGUGGGGAGCAAACAGGAUUAGAUACCCUGGUAGUCCACGCCGUAAACGAUGUCUACUUGGAGGUUGUGGCCUUGAGCCGUGGCUUUCGGAGCUAACGCGUUAAGUAGACCGCCUGGGGAGUACGGUCGCAAGAUUAAAACUCAAAUGAAUUGACGGGGGCCCGCACAAGCGGUGGAGCAUGUGGUUUAAUUCGAUGCAACGCGAAGAACCUUACCUACUCUUGACAUCCAGAGAACUUUCCAGAGAUGGAUUGGUGCCUUCGGGAACUCUGAGACAGGUGCUGCAUGGCUGUCGUCAGCUCGUGUUGUGAAAUGUUGGGUUAAGUCCCGCAACGAGCGCAACCCUUAUCCUUGUUUGCCAGCGAGUAAUGUCGGGAACUCCAGGGAGACUGCCGGUGAUAAACCGGAGGAAGGUGGGGACGACGUCAAGUCAUCAUGGCCCUUACGAGUAGGGCUACACACGUGCUACAAUGGCGCAUACAGAGGGCAGCAAGCUAGCGAUAGUGAGCGAAUCCCAAAAAGUGCGUCGUAGUCCGGAUUGGAGUCUGCAACUCGACUCCAUGAAGUCGGAAUCGCUAGUAAUCGUGGAUCAGAAUGCCACGGUGAAUACGUUCCCGGGCCUUGUACACACCGCCCGUCACACCAUGGGAGUGGGCUGCAAAAGAAGU
rnacentral:rRNA from 1 species